UUUCCGUAGGUGAACCUGCGGAAGGAUCAUUAACGAUUAAUGGUCUAUCUGGCUCGUCAUCCCACCCUUUGCUUAAUUACCAUGUUGCUUUGACGUGCUUGAUUCAGAACCACCAGACGUCCUCGGUUAUUUUGUCCGUCCUUGCCUGUAACAUACUACGAACACUUAAUUCAUUAUACUACUUUCGAAAUCGAAUCAAUAGUUAAACCUUUCAACAACGAAUCCCUUAGUUCUGGAAUCGAUGCAUAUCGACGCAGAUCACAAGAUCACACGUCUUAA
rnacentral:misc_RNA from 1 species